rnacentral:rRNA from 1 species
AUGAACGCUGGCGGCGUGCCUAAUACCUGCAAGUCGAGCGAACAGACGAGGAGCUUGCUCCUCUGACGUUAGCGGCGGACGGGUGAGUAACACGUGGAUAACCUACCUAUAAGACUGGGAUAACUUCGGGAAACCGGAGCUAAUACCGGACAAUAUAUUGAACCGCAUGGUUCAAUAGUGAAAGACGGUUUUGCUGUCACUUAUAGAUGGAUCCGCGCCGCAUUAGCUAGUUGGUAAGGUAACGGCUUACCAAGGCAACGAUGCGUAGCCGACCUGAGAGGGUGAUCGGCCACACUGGAACUGAGACACGGUCCAGACUCCUACGGGAGGCAGCAGUAGGGAAUCUUCCGCAAUGGGCGAAAGCCUGACGGAGCAACGCCGCGUGAGUGAUGAAGGUCUUCGGAUCGUAAAACUCUGUUAUUAGGGAAGAACAAAUGUGUAAGUAACUAUGCACGUCUUGACGGUACCUAAUCAGAAAGCCACGGCUAACUACGUG